rnacentral:rRNA from 1 species
AGCUUGCUACCUGACCUAGCGGCGGACGGGUGAGUAAUGCUUAGGAAUCUGCCUAUUAGUGGGGGACAACAUUCCGAAAGGAAUGCUAAUACCGCAUACGCCCUACGGGGGAAAGCAGGGGAUCUUCGGACCUUGCGCUAAUAGAUGAGCCUAAGUCAGAUUAGCUAGUUGGUGGGGUAAAGGCCUACCAAGGCGACGAUCUGUAGCGGGUCUGAGAGGAUGAUCCGCCACACUGGGACUGAGACACGGCCCAGACUCCUACGGGAGGCAGCAGUGGGGAAUAUUGGACAAUGGGCGAAAGCCUGAUCCAGCCAUGCCGCGUGUGUGAAGAAGGCCUUUUGGUUGUAAAGCACUUUAAGCGAGGAGGAGGCUACUGAGAUUAAUACUCUUGGAUAGUGGACGUUACUCGCAGAAUAAGCACCGGCUAACUCUGUGCCAGCAGCCGCGGUAAUACAGAGGGUGCGAGCGUUAAUCGGAUUUACUGGGCGUAAAGCGUGCGUAGGCGGCUUUUUAAGUCGGAUGUGAAAUCCCUGAGCUUAACUUAGGAAUUGCAUUCGAUACUGGGAAGCUAGAGUAUGGGAGAGGAUGGUAGAAUUCCAGGUGUAGCGGUGAAAUGCGUAGAGAUCUGGAGGAAUACCGAUGGCGAAGGCAGCCAUCUGGCCUAAUACUGACGCUGAGGUACGAAAGCAUGGGGAGCAAACAGGAUUAGAUACCCUGGUAGUCCAUGCCGUAAACGAUGUCUACUAGCCGUUGGGGCCUUUGAGGCUUUAGUGGCGCAGCUAACGCGAUAAGUAGACCGCCUGGGGAGUACGGUCGCAAGACUAAAACUCAAAUGAAUUGACGGGGGCCCGCACAAGCGGUGGAGCAUGUGGUUUAAUUCGAUGCAACGCGAAGAACCUUACCUGGUCUUGACAUAGUAAGAACUUUCCAGAGAUGGAUUGGUGCCUUCGGGAACUUACAUACAGGUGCUGCAUGGCUGUCGUCAGCUCGUGUCGUGAGAUGUUGGGUUAAGUCCCGCAACGAGCGCAACCCUUUUCCUUAUUUGCCAGCGGGUUAAGCCGGGAACUUUAAGGAUACUGCCAGUGACAAACUGGAGGAAGGCGGGGACGACGUCAAGUCAUCAUGGCCCUUACGACCAGGGCUACACACGUGCUACAAUGGUCGGUACAAAGGGUUGCUACCUAGCGAUAGGAUGCUAAUCUCAAAAAGCCGAUCGUAGUCCGGAUUGGAGUCUGCAACUCGAC